UCAUCAGUUAGGGUGAUCCUUACCUGUAGUCCUUCGGGACACAGUGAGGAACGUGAUGAGAGAGAGGGAAUGAUUCUUCGUGAGUUAAACCUCUCGGCCCUGAUGGCUGCAACACCAUCAGUGGCUAUCUCUGAC